AGUGAACGCUGGCGGUAGGCCUAACACAUGCAAGUCGAACGGCAGCACAGUAAGAGCUUGCUCUUACGGGUGGCGAGUGGCGGACGGGUGAGGAAUACAUCGGAAUCUACUUUUUCGUGGGGGAUAACGUAGGGAAACUUACGCUAAUACCGCAUACGACCUACGGGUGAAAGCAGGGGAUCUUCGGACCUUGCGCGAUUGAAUGAGCCGAUGUCGGAUUAGCUAGUUGGCGAGGUAAAGGCCCACCAAGGCGACGAUCCGUAGCUGGUCUGAGAGGAUGAUCAGCCACACUGGAACUGAGACACGGUCCAGACUCCUACGGGAGGCAGCAGUGGGGAAUAUUGGACAAUGGGCGCAAGCCUGAUCCAGCCAUACCGCGUGGGUGAAGAAGGCCUUCGGGUUGUAAAGCCCUUUUGUUGGGAAAGAAAAGCAGCAGGUUAAUACCCCGCUGUUCUGACGGUACCCAAAGAAUAAGCACCGGCUAACUUCGU
rnacentral:rRNA from 1 species